CCUACGGGGGGCUGCAGUGGGGAAUAUUGGACAAUGGGCGCAAGCCUGAUCCAGCAACGCCGCGUGGAGGACGAAGGUCUUCGGAUUGUAAACUCCUGUCAGGCGGGACGAAGGGUUGGGGGCAAAUAGUCCCCGAUCUUGACGGUACUGCCAGAGGAAGCCCCGGCUAACUCCGUGCCAGCAGCCGCGGUAAUACGGAGGGGGCGAGCGUUAUUCGGAAUUAUUGGGCGUAAAGGGCGCGUAGGCGGCCCGGUAAGUCAAAGGUGAAAUCCCUC
rnacentral:rRNA from 1 species